AGCGAACGCUGGCGGCAGGCCUAACACAUGCAAGUCGAACGAACCUUUCGGGGUUAGUGGCGGACGGGUGAGUAACACGUGGGAACGUGCCUUUAGGUUCGGAAUACCUCAGGGUAACUUGUGUUAAUACCGCAUGUGCUCUUAGGGGGUAAGAUUUAUCGCCGUUAGAGCGGCCCGCGUCUGUUUCGCUAGUUGGUUGAGGUAAUGGCUCACCAAGGCGUCGUUCAGUAGCUGGUCUGUGAGGAUGAUUAGCCACAUUGGGACUGAGACACGGCCCAAACUGCUACGGAAGGCAGCAGUGGAGAAUCUUGCGCAAUGGGCGAAAGCCUGACGCAGCCAUGCGGCGUGAAUGAUGAAGGGCUUAGGAUUGUAAAAUUCUUUCACCGGGGACGAUAAUGACGGUACCCGGAGAAGAAGCCCCGGCUAACUUCGUG
rnacentral:rRNA from 1 species